GUUUCCGUCCCCUUGCGGGGAAAAGAUAGAAAACUAC
rnacentral:other from 1 species